AUGUCGUAUUUCUUCCAAAAUUCAGCUACAGAAAAUGCACAAUCUCCAACUGUAGCACCAACAACCUGUCUGAAAGUCCGUGUAAGAAACGGAGAUCCUGCUGGCGAGUCCAGAAAUCCAGCACUGGGGAAAACUGAAAGGUUGGACGUGACCUCUCUUUCCUCUUCAUUCAGGACAAAGGCUUCAAGAACAUUUCAAGACACUCUCUAGGGGCAACUGUACAGUGACGGAUGUUAACUAGACUUCUUGCGGUGAUCAUUUUGCGAUACACACAGAUACUGAAUCAUUACGUUGUAUGCCUGAAGCUAACAUCAUGAUACAAUCACUUCUAAAUUUUAAAAGUUAAUUUUUUUAAGAAAAAAGAAAAACUUUUCAAUUUAUUUGUUUGUUUGUUUGUUUUAAGUAGGCUACACACACAGCACGGAGCCCAGCGCGGGGCUUGAACUCACAAUCCUGAGAUCAAGACUGAGCUGAGAUCAAAAGUUGGACGCUUAAGUGACUGAGUCACCCAGGUGCCCCUAAAAAAGAAAUUCUUGUCAUUGCAGUUCAGUGCCACAAAACCAAGAGCCCAGCUCAAAUGAGAAAAAUUUUUAAAUGUGUUUCCU
rnacentral:lncRNA from 1 species